GACGGACGCUGGCGGCGUGCUUAACACAUGCAAGUCGAGCGGUAAGGCCCUUUCGGGGGUACACGAGCGGCGAACGGGUGAGUAACACGUGGGUGACCUGCCCUCAGCUCUGGGAUAAGCCUGGGAAACCGGGUCUAAUACUGGAUAUGACUCCAUGACGCAUGUUGUGGGGUGGAAAGCCUUGUGCGGCUGAGGAUGGGCCCGCGGCCUAUCAGCUUGUUGGUGGGGNGAUGGCCUACCAAGGCGACGACGGGUAGCCGGCCUGAGAGGGCGACCGGCCACACUGGGACUGAGACACGGCCCAGACUCCUACGGGAGGCAGCAGUGGGGAAUCUUGCGCAAUGGGCGGAAGCCUGACGCAGCAACGCCGCGUGUGGGAAGA
rnacentral:rRNA from 1 species